AUGGAAAUACACUGUAAGCACGACCCGUUUGCAUCCAUGCAUAGUAUUAUGAGACAGGAAGCAUCAAGCCGGGGGUGAUUGGAGGAUCCAAACCAAAGGUUGCCACUCCCAAAGUGGUGGAAAAAAUCGCUGAGUACAAACGCCAAAACCCUACCAUGUUUGCCUGGGAGAUCAGGGACCGGCUGUUGGCAGAGCGAGUCUGUGACAAUGACACUGUGCCCAGCGUCAGCUCCAUCAACAG
rnacentral:lncRNA from 1 species